GGUAGCCUGGCCAAGCGGGGUAAGGUGCUGGAUUAAGGCUCCAGUCUCUUCAGGGGCAUGGGAUUGAAUCCCAUCGCUGCCA
rnacentral:tRNA from 1 species